UACGGAGUGUGCAAGCGUUACUCGGAAUCACUGGGCAUAAAGCGCGCGUAGGCGGGUAUUCAAGUCGGUUGUGAAAUCCCCCAGCUCAACUGGGGAACUGCAUCCGAUACUGUCUGUCUUGAGGACGAGAGGGGGGAGUGGAACUUCUGGUGGAGCGGUGAAAUGCGUAGAUAUCAGAAGGAACGCCGGUGGCGAAAGCGACUCUCUGGCUCGUAUCUGACGCUGAGGCGCGAAAGCUUGGGUAGCAAACGGG
rnacentral:rRNA from 1 species